AGCCUAGCGCUAAGGCUUAAUGUGGUUGUCGCAAGGCAAUCAAUUUACAAACAUUAGGCGGUGCAGCGUUACAAACUUUGGUGUUGAGUAGUGUCAAUGUAAUGUUAUAGUUUCGGCUAUAUAUAUUGCUUUUGGCCUAGCGUACAAGUCCCAUUGACUUGGGCCUAUUCUUGAGAUGUCUACGGGUUUGGGGCAACUUGGAUCCGUGGAUGAGCCAUAUAGGGUGAAAGUCCCUUAAUGCGCAGGUAUUGAUACUGCGAACCAGAGCAGUGGCGUCUGGUAAAACAGGCGUUGCGAUUUGUUAGAGUCGGGUUGCUUGAGAGUGCAACCUAAAGAGCGAGGUAAACUGCUCGUAAGGCUAUGUAAAUACGGCUACGACACCGAUAGCAAACAAGUACCGUGAGGGAAAGUUGCAAAGUACUUUGAAGAGAGAGUUAAACAGGGCGUGAAACCGCUAGCUGGUAAACGAGUGGAGCCACGAAGUCGUUUCGUAGAAUACGAGAUGCAAAUUCAGCUAAGAUCCAAAAAGGUCUUGGCGUAUUUUUGCUUGUCUCGCUAUUGUAAGCGUACACUGCAACCAAUUAGACGGUCAAUCGUGGAAACAGUUUGCAUGUUAACUUGGAAACUUGUUGCUUGUAAACGAAAACAUUUAUGUAUUUAUAGUAGGUAGCCUGAUUGAAGUUUCGGCUUUUUUUUGGGUGUAUGACUUGUAAAUGCGUGAACUACGAUUGAGUACUGAUUGGCAAAAUGAAAAUCGAGUCGAAAGAUUCGUGAAAUCAUAUAAAGCGGCUAAUAUCGUAUUUGGGUACAAUUGCUCGCUGCUAGUAUAAGCUUGGUAUUUUUGAAUUCAGGCACGUAUAUUGUCAAUAGGCUUGCUUGUUGAUAUAUGCGCUGUUUCCUGUCUAAUCGGGUAUUAACUUUGCUGGUAGUUUGAUGUGAUUGCUAUGAUAGCACUGAAUGCGAUAAUUAGUUUGCAAGUAUUGGCAGUGAGUAGGUCGGCUUUCCACACGACCCGUCUUGAAACACGGACCAAGGAGUCUAGUUAAGUAUCAAGUCGAUCGGUCUUGAUUAGGCCAGACAUCGGGAAUGCUGUAAAAGGCAAUGUUCCGAAAUACAAUAAAUGACGGCAAAGUGAAAUCAAAUUAUAUGUGAUCUGAGGUCUAUAAAAAUGGCCUACAGCGCAACAUAUGCCCACUCGUGUGGUUAUACGCGCAAGUGUUAACCGGGUGGAGCAAAGAGAUACUUGACUGGUACCCGAAAGAUGGUGAACUAUUCCUGGCCAGAUUGAAGCCAGAGGAAACUCUGGUGGAGGAUUGUAGCGAUUCUGACGUGCAAAUCGAUCGUCAGAGCUGGGUAUAGGGGCGAAAGACUAAUCGAACCAUCUAGUAGCUGGUUCCCUCCGAAGUUUCCCUCAGGAUAGCAAGCUCUCGCAGAAAUGUGAAUCAGUUUCAUCUGGUAAAGCGAAUGAUUAGAGGCCUUGGGAGCGAAACGCUCUCAACCUAUUCUCAAACUUUAAAUGGGUGAGAUGUACGACGUACUUAAUUGACGCCGUAUAAUUUUACAGAAUGUAUUGAGAGCUUAGUGGGCCAUUUUUGGUAAGCAGAACUGGCGAUGCGGGAUGAACCGAAAGUGAAGUUAAGGUUGCCGAUAAUGGUGCUAACAAAUUUGCACUAGCUACACUCAUGAGAUCCCAUGAAAGGUGUAAGUUGCUAAAGACAGCAAGGACGUGGCCAUGGAAGUCGGAAACAUCUAAGGAGUGUGUAACAACUCACUUGCCGAAGCAACUUGCCCUGAAAAUGGAAGCAGCUCGAGUGUUGAACCUAUACUUCACCGUUGAGUUAUUGAUUCGUAUAAUAUGCGAUUAGUUAUGAUUCAACGUGUAGGAGGGUUGUGUUGGUAGCGUUGAAGGCUAUGAGGGAGUGAUCCUGGCUGGAGCUGCCAAUAGUACAGAUCUUGGUGGUAGUAGCAAAUACUCAAGUGAGACCCUUGAGGGCCAAUGUGGAGAAGGGUUCCAUGCUAACAGCAAUUGGACAUGGGUCAGUCGGUCCUAAGAGAAUGGCGAAAGCUAUUUCUGAAUCAAAGGCGGUGUAUACAAAACACAUAUAAAUACAACUGGUUUGUUGCUUUAAGCUUUUAUCUUUGUACUAAAAGCAUUUUUGAAUAAAUUUUGCAAAAUAAACUCAGAUAUUAAUGCAAAUUAUAAUAAAGGCGCAAUCCAUUUAAGUGUAUUAUGAUCACUGUAUGACUCGAAAGGGAAUUAGGUUAAUAUUCCUAAACCAAGAUGGGGAGAUUGCUUAUUGUGCGGUUAUUCAUUUAGCUGUGCAAUUAGCAUUGGCGGUAACGCAAACAAGCACGAUGACGCCGGCGGCAGCCCUGGGAAGAGUUGUCUUUUCUUUGUAAGCUUACUGAGUUUUUAACGAGACCUUGGAAUCGAAUCAUUCGAAGAUAAGGUCGUAGUAAGCGUAAAGCAGUGCGGUUCUAGUACUGUCCAGAGAGCUGU
rnacentral:rRNA from 1 species